GACGAACGCUGGCGGCGGGCCUAAUACAUGCAAGUAGAACGCAGUUGCGAACGGGUGAGUAACGCGUAGGUAACUGCCUCAUAGCGGGGGAUAACUAUUGGAAACGAUAGCUAAUACCGCAUACUGGGAGAUGGACCUGCGGUGUAUUAGCUAGUUGGUGAGGUAAAGGCUCACCAAGGCGACGAUACAUAGCCGGCCUGAGAGGGUGAUCGGCCACACGGGGAACGAGAACCGGGCCAGAAUCCUACGGGAGGGAGCAGUAGGGAAUAUUAGGCAAUGGACGGAAGUCUGGACGAGCAACGACGCGUGAGUGAAGAAGGUUUUCGGAUCGGAAAGCUCUGUUGUUAGAGGAGCGGUACCCAACCAGAAAGGGACGGCUAACUACGUGCCAGCAGCCGCGGUAAUUC
rnacentral:rRNA from 1 species